UCCUUAGACGUUCUGGGCCGCACGCGCGCUACACUGACGAAGGCAACGAGCUUUCCUUUACCGAAAGGUACGGGUAAUCUUUUGAAACUUCGUCGUGCUGGGGAUAGAUCCUUGCAAUUUUUGAUCUUAAACGAGGAAUGCCUAGUAAGCGCAAGUCAUCAACUUGCGUUGAUUACGUCCCUGCCCUUUGUACACACCGCCCGUCGCUACUACCGAUUGAAUGGUUUAGUGAGGCCUUCGGAUCCGCGACUCGUUUGUGGAGAAGUUGGACAAACUCAGUCAUUUAGAGGAAGUAAAAGUCGUAACA
rnacentral:rRNA from 1 species